rnacentral:rRNA from 1 species
CGGGUGAGUAACGCGUGGGUAACCUGCCCUUUUGUGGGGAACAACUUCGAGAAAUCGGAGCUAAUACCGCAUAAUAAUAGAGGAUCGCAUGAUUCUUUAAGGAAAGAUGGCCUCUGAAGAUGCUAUCGCAAAAGGAUGGACCCGCGUCUGAUUAGCUAGUUGGAAGGGUAACGGCCUACCAAGGCAACGAUCAGUAGCCGGCCUGAGAGGGUGAACGGCCACAUUGGGACUGAGACACGGCCCAAACUCCUACGGAAGGCAGCAG